rnacentral:rRNA from 1 species
GAUUAAGUUAUUAAGGGCGCACGGUGGAUGCCUUGGCACUAGAAGCCGAUGAAGGACGUUACUAACGACGAUAUGCUUUGGGGAGCUGUAAGUAAGCUUUGAUCCAGAGAUUUCCGAAUGGGGAAACCCAGCAUGAGUUAUGUCAUGUUAUCGAUAUGUGAAUACAUAGCAUAUCAGAAGGCACACCCGGAGAACUGAAACAUCUUAGUACCCGGAGGAAGAGAAAGAAAAUUCGAUUCCCUUAGUAGCGGCGAGCGAAACGGGAAGAGCCCAAACCAACAAGCUUGCUUGUUGGGGUUGUAGGACACUCUAUACGGAGUUACAAAGGACGACAUUAGACGAAUCAUCUGGAAAGAUGAAUCAAAGAAGGUAAUAAUCCUGUAGUCGAAAAUGUUGUCUCUCUUGAGUGGAUCCUGAGUACGACGGAGCACGUGAAAUUCCGUCGGAAUCUGGGAGGACCAUCUCCUAAGGCUAAAUACUCUCUAGUGACCGAUAGUGAACCAGUACCGUGAGGGAAAGGUGAAAAGCACCCCGGAAGGGGAGUGAAAUAGAACCUGAAACCGUGUGCUUACAAGUAGUCAGAGCCCGUUAAUGGGUGAUGGCGUGCCUUUUGUAGAAUGAACCGGCGAGUUACGAUUUGAUGCAAGGUUAAGCAGUAAAUGUGGAGCCGUAGCGAAAGCGAGUCUGAAUAGGGCGUUUAGUAUUUGGUCGUAGACCCGAAACCAGGUGAUCUACCCUUGGUCAGGUUGAAGUUCAGGUAACACUGAAUGGAGGACCGAACCGACUUACGUUGAAAAGUGAGCGGAUGAACUGAGGGUAGCGGAGAAAUUCCAAUCGAACCUGGAGAUAGCUGGUUCUCUCCGAAAUAGCUUUAGGGCUAGCCUCAAGUGAUGAUUAUUGGAGGUAGAGCACUGUUUGGACGAGGGGCCCCUCUCGGGUUACCGAAUUCAGACAAACUCCGAAUGCCAAUUAAUUUAACUUGGGAGUCAGAACAUGGGUGAUAAGGUCCGUGUUCGAAAGGGAAACAGCCCAGACCACCAGCUAAGGUCCCAAAAUAUAUGUUAAGUGGAAAAGGAUGUGGCGUUGCCCAGACAACUAGGAUGUUGGCUUAGAAGCAGCCAUCAUUUAAAGAGUGCGUAAUAGCUCACUAGUCGAGUGACACUGCGCCGAAAAUGUACCGGGGCUAAACAUAUUACCGAAGCUGUGGAUUGUCCUUUGGACAAUGGUAGGAGAGCGUUCUAAGGGCGUUGAAGCAUGAUCGUAAGGACAUGUGGAGCGCUUAGAAGUGAGAAUGCCGGUGUGAGUAGCGAAAGACGGGUGAGAAUCCCGUCCACCGAUUGACUAAGGUUUCCAGAGGAAGGCUCGUCCGCUCUGGGUUAGUCGGGUCCUAAGCUGAGGCCGACAGGCGUAGGCGAUGGAUAACAGGUUGAUAUUCCUGUACCACCUAUAAUCGUUUUAAUCGAUGGGGGGACGCAGUAGGAUAGGCGAAGCGUGCGAUUGGAUUGCACGUCUAAGCAGUAAGGCUGAGUAUUAGGCAAAUCCGGUACUCGUUAAGGCUGAACUGUGAUGGGGAGAAGACAUUGUGUCUUCGAGUCGUUGAUUUCACACUGCCGAGAAAAGCCUCUAGAUAGAAAAUAGGUGCCCGUACCGCAAACCGACACAGGUAGUCAAGAUGAGAAUUCUAAGGUGAGCGAGCGAACUCUCGUUAAGGAACUCGGCAAAAUGACCCCGUAACUUCGGGAGAAGGGGUGCUCUUUAGGGUUAACGCCCAGAAGAGCCGCAGUGAAUAGGCCCAAGCGACUGUUUAUCAAAAACACAGGUCUCUGCUAAACCGUAAGGUGAUGUAUAGGGGCUGACGCCUGCCCGGUGCUGGAAGGUUAAGAGGAGUGGUUAGCUUCUGCGAAGCUACGAAUCGAAGCCCCAGUAAACGGCGGCCGUAACUAUAACGGUCCUAAGGUAGCGAAAUUCCUUGUCGGGUAAGUUCCGACCCGCACGAAAGGCGUAACGAUUUGGGCACUGUCUCAACGAGAGACUCGGUGAAAUCAUAGUACCUGUGAAGAUGCAGGUUACCCGCGACAGGACGGAAAGACCCCGUGGAGCUUUACUGUAGCCUGAUAUUGAAAUUCGGCACAGCUUGUACAGGAUAGGUAGGAGCCUUUGAAACGUGAGCGCUAGCUUACGUGGAGGCGCUGGUGGGAUACUACCCUAGCUGUGUUGGCUUUCUAACCCGCACCACUUAUCGUGGUGGGAGACAGUGUCAGGCGGGCAGUUUGACUGGGGCGGUCGCCUCCUAAAAGGUAACGGAGGCGCUCAAAGGUUCCCUCAGAAUGGUUGGAAAUCAUUCAUAGAGUGUAAAGGCAUAAGGGAGCUUGACUGCGAGACCUACAAGUCGAGCAGGGUCGAAAGACGGACUUAGUGAUCCGGUGGUUCCGCAUGGAAGGGCCAUCGCUCAACGGAUAAAAGCUACCCCGGGGAUAACAGGCUUAUCUCCCCCAAGAGUUCACAUCGACGGGGAGGUUUGGCACCUCGAUGUCGGCUCAUCGCAUCCUGGGGCUGUAGUCGGUCCCAAGGGUUGGGCUGUUCGCCCAUUAAAGCGGUACGCGAGCUGGGUUCAGAACGUCGUGAGACAGUUCGGUCCCUAUCCGUCGUGGGCGUAGGAAAUUUGAGAGGAGCUGUCCUUAGUACGAGAGGACCGGGAUGGACAUACCUCUGGUGUACCAGUUGUCGUGCCAACGGCAUAGCUGGGUAGCUAUGUGUGGACGGGAUAAGUGCUGAAAGCAUCUAAGCAUGAAGCCCCCCUCAAGAUGAGAUUUCCCAACUUCGGUUAUAAGAUCCCUCAAAGAUGAUGAGGUUAAUAGGUUCGAGGUGGAAGCAUGGUGACAUGUGGAGCUGACGAAUACUAAUCGAUCGAAGACUUAAUCAA